rnacentral:rRNA from 1 species
GAUGAACGCUAGCGGCAGGCUUAACACAUGCAAGUCGAGGGGUAUUUAUCUUCGGAUAGAGAGACCGGCGCACGGGUGCGUAACGCGUAUGCAAUCUACCUUUUACAGAGGGAUAGCCCAGAGAAAUUUGGAUUAAUACCUCAUAGUAUAUAGACUCGGCAUCGAGAUUAUAUUAAAGUCACAACGGUAAAAGAUGAGCAUGCGUCCCAUUAGCUAGUUGGUAAGGUAACGGCUUACCAAGGCUACGAUGGGUAGGGGUCCUGAGAGGGAGAUCCCCCACACUGGUACUGAGACCCGGACCAGAGUGCUACGGGAGGCAGCAGUGAGGAAUAUAGGAGAAUGGGCGCAAGCCUGAUCCAGCCAAGCCGCGUGCAGGAUGACGGUCCUAUGGAUUGUAAACUGCUUUUAGACGAGAAGAAACACUGCUACGGGUAGCAGCUUGACGGUAACGUAAGAAUAAGGAUCGGCUAACUACGUG